rnacentral:tRNA from 1 species
UCCUCUGUGGCUCAGUUGGUAGAGCAUGGUGUGUGCAACACCAGGGUUGUGGGUUUGAUUCCCAUGGGGGGGC